rnacentral:rRNA from 1 species
AUAUCCAAUAAGCGGAGGAAAAGAAACCAACUGGGAUUACCUUAGUAACGGCGAGUGAAGCGGUAAAAGCUCAAAUUUGAAAUCUGGUACUUUCAGUGCCCGAGUUGUAAUUUGUAGAAUUUGUCUUUGAUUAGGUCCUUGUCUAUGUUCCUUGGAACAGGACGUCAUAGAGGGUGAGAAUCCCGUUUGGCGAGGAUACCUUUUCUCUGUAAGACUUUUUCGAAGAGUCGAGUUGUUUGGGAAUGCAGCUCAAAGUGGGUGGUAAAUUCCAUCUAAAGCUAAAUAUUGGCGAGAGACCGAUAGCGAACAAGUACAGUGAUGGAAAGAUGAAAAGAACUUUGAAAAGAGAGUGAAAAAGUACGUGAAAUUGUUGAAAGGGAAGGGCAUUUGAUCAGACAUGGUGUUUUUUGCAUGCACUCGCCUCUCGUGGGCUUGGGCCUCUCAAAAAUUUCACUGGGCCAACAUCAAUUCUGGCAGCAGGAUAAAUCAUUAAGAAUGUAGCUACUUCGGUAGUGUUAUAGCUUUUUGGAAUACUGUUAGCCGGGAUUGAGGACUGCGCUUCGGCAAGGAUGUGGCAUAAUGUAAUGCG